rnacentral:rRNA from 1 species
UACAGAGGUCUCAAGCGUUGUUCGGAUUCAUUGGGCGUAAAGGGCGCGUAGGCGGCGUGGUAAGUCGGGUGUGAAAUCUCGGAGCUUAACUCCGAAACUGCAUUCGAUACUGCCGUGCUUGAGGACUGGAGAGGAGACUGGAAUUUACGGUGUAGCGGUGAAAUGCGUAGAUAUCGUAAGGAAGACCAGUGGCGAAGGCGGGUCUCUGGACAGUUCCUGACGCUGAGGCACGAAGGUCAGGGGAGCAAACGGG